AUGGUACAGAUGGGCAUUAGUGUAGUUGCCACAAACUCUGGCAUGAAAGCAAUCAUAAAUGAGGAAGCCUAUGUUGUGCAAGGAACCGGAGCACCAGACGUGCCCAACCCACACUUAUUGCUCAACUCAUUAACCCCUGAUAAAAGUUACUUCUCAGUAGUUGAUCUCAGUAAUGCAUUUUUCUCAGUACCAUUGCACCCUGAUUCUCAACAUUUAUUUGGUUUCACCUAUAAGGGAAAAAAAUACACAUAUACUAGACUCCCUCAAGGGUUUUCAGAAAGUCCACAUGUAUAUACCAUGGCCCUUAGAUACUCUAUGAGUACCUGUAAAAUACCAUCCCAUAGUCAAGUGCUACUGUAUGUAGAUGAUAUAUUAAUUGCUUCAGAUACAAAACAGCAUUGUAAGGAAGCCACACUGUUGGUGUUACAGCAUUUAUAUGAUACAGGACAUAAAGCAUCAAAACAAAAAUUACAAUAUUGCAGGGAGGAAGUUAUAUAUCUUGGACAUAAACUCUCCCAACAAGGUCGAUCGUUGUUAGAAACUAGAAAACAGGCAAUACAAGAGGCACCAAAGCCAAAGACUAAACAGCAAAUGAUGUCCUUCUUAGGACUUUGUAAUUAUUGCAGAGAAUGGCUACCUGAUUAUGCCGCACUCGUUCAACCUCUGCAAACCUUAAUUUAUGGGAAAGACAUGGCCUUAAAAGAUAAAAUUCAGUGGACAAAAGAAGGAGAAUUGGCAUUCACAAACUUAAAAAUGAUGCUACAAACAAAUGUGAUACUUGCCUUACCAGAUUAUCAACAACCAUUUACCUUAUGUGUUGAUGCUAAUCAAGGUUAUAUGAAAGCGGUAUUAACACAGCCGUUCGGGACAAAGGAAAGAGCACUAGCAUUCUAUUCUAAACGAUUAGAUGCAGUAGCAGCUGGUUUUCCACAAUGUUUGCAAGCAUGUGCAGCUGCUGCAGAAGCAGUAAAAUUAUCAGCAGAAUUAGUGUUGUGUCACCCACUCACCUUGAAGGUGCCACAUUCAGUUUCAUUAGUUUUACUGCAGACACCGCUUCCGUUCCUCACACAUGCUAGACAUCUGACCUUAGUCUCACUCCUGCUUUCACAGUCAAACAUUACUAUACAGCGAUGUGGUCCUCUUAACCCUAGCACCCUUCUUCCGACAACGGAAGAUGGAGAACCACAUUCGUGCAAAGCAGUUGUGGAAGAGCAAACAAAACCCAGAGCAGAUAUUUUACAGACCCCAAUAUCAGAUUCAAUGGUUGUUUAUGUAGAUGGAUCAGCAUCAAAAAAUGAUAUGGAAAAAAAUAAGGUCGGGUAUGCUGUAGUUACAUCUACUGAAGUGUUAGAGGCCAAUGCACUCCCACCUGCUUGUUCAGCACAAGCGGCUGAACUCUAUGCUGUAAUUAGGGCAUGCGAGCUAUUCAAAAAUAAGUCACUUACUAUAUACACUGAUAGUCAAUAUGUGUUUGGAGCUGUUCAUCACCAUGCAAGAGUGUGGAAAAAUAGAGGUUUUAAAACAUCGCAGGGAACGUCUCUAACUCACACAAACUUACUACUUAGAUUAUUAGAUGUUGUACUAUUACCGACUCGCCUUGCACUGUGCAAAUGUAAAGCACACCAAACCGAUGCUUCCACAAUAGCUAAAGGAAACAACUUUGCAGAUAAAACUGCCAAAGAAGCGGCACUGAAACAGCCCACCUUAUCAGUGGCAGACAUUCUUUUCAUAGAUAGUGAUGUGCUGUGUGAUGCACAGAUUCAUGCUCCUAAAACAGAAAUACAGAGUUGGAUCAAGAGAGGAGCAAUACAGCAAGGGAAAGUUUACUAUAUGAAUGACAAGCCUAUCCUACCAAAAAACUUAUACAAAACAGCUGCCUUAGUGAGCCAUGGAAAUACUCAUGUCUCAACAGGAGGGAUGGUACAUAUUAUCCAGCAAUACUUUUACGCUAUAAAUUUUUCUGAUUAUGCAAAGCAAUUUUGUAGAACAUGCUUAAUUUGCUGUAAACAUAAUGCACAGGGUAACAUGAGACCAAAACGUGGCCAGUUCCCUGUAGCUGAGUACCCGUUUCAAGUUGUACAUAUGGAUUUUAUUGAAUUAUCUUGGUCACAAGGGAAGAAGUACUGUCUAGUCAUUAUAGACACCUUUUCUAAGUGGGUAGAAAUAUACCCUGUAAAGCACUGUGAUGCAAUGACUGUUGCAAAAUGUUUGGUAGGCCAUUAUUUCCCUACUUAUGGCAUACCUCAUAUUAUAAGAUCAGACAAUGGGACUCAUUUUGUAAAUCAGACCAUGUCCCUUUGUUCACAAGCAUUAGGUUUUACGCUUAAGAAUCAUUGUGCUUAUCACCCUCAGAGUGCAGGCUUAGUGGAGAGAACUAACGGCACUAUUAAAACAAGGCUCAGAAAAACAAUGGAAGAGACAAAAAGGCCGUGGCCAGAAUGUUUGUCUCUAGUAAAAUUGUGGAUGAGAAUAACUCCCAUUCCUGCAGGAUUAACACCUUUUGAGAUAGUGUACGGAAGGCCGUUUCCCCUAGCAACCAAAAUGAGUGAUAUAGGGAAAGCGGACAGAGAAAAUACAUUGGCUAAUUGGAUGCGAAAGUUGCUAUCAUCACAACAAAAACAUAGCCCCAGUAGUCUGCCAGUAAAUUCUGUUUCUAACCAACAGGAUAACUUGCAGCCAGGAGAUUGGAUCCUGGUCAAGGUCCUGUUGCGGAAGGAGUGGAGCACACCCCGGUGGGACGGACCUUAUCAAGUCCUCCUCACAACACCAACAGCUGUGAAAAUAGCAGAACGACCUUCCUGGAUACACAAAAGUCACUGUAAACCCAUCAAGCCCUUAUCAGAGGCCUCAGCGACAGAGUAGCAGUGGAAGUCCGCUACAAAGGCACAGUAACCAAUAGGGUGCUGCUGUCUCAACCCGGUGAAGAAAACAACUGAGCUGCACUCUAUUAGGAUGGCUCUGACGGGGUGGGGAUGUGGUAAGGUGACUCUAGGGGUCAUUCUUGUUGUUGGACUUGUAUGGUUGUCCUUGCUCCCACUAGCUCCAUUGCAGCACCUACGGCGAUGGACCCAUGACGACUUCCAUCUGCGCCCGUUGCCUGCUGACCACUCACACCCGUUCAUGAAGAACUACUGGUAUCGAUAUGUACAUGACACUGUAACAGCAAAAAAUGUGACUUACAAAAAGUGAUGACCAUGGACAGUCAACCGCAGUCCUCCUGGCUGGACUGGUUUGUUACAGGAAUUUGGUGGUCCAUACUGAUGAAAAUGUGCCUACCUUUUGUUUUGUUUUUUAUUUUGUUUUUCUGUUGUUUUAUAACUGUUAUACCAUGUUUGAAAAUGUUUAUUAAUCAAGCUCUUAAUGCUGCUUUUCGGACACACAGUACAAUGCUUCUCUCCCUUACUCAGAAUAUGGAGACAGAGCCUGUUUCCAGCGAUAGCGAUGAAGAAGACAUGUAAUUCAUAAUGACGGCUGAGCUGAAAGCACCCGUGCAGGGCUCGGACCUGAAGUAAUGGAAUUAGAUGUUUUUCUAUGAUAAACAGGAGGAACGACUCCUGAUGGUUUUCUGUACUCCACAGUUAGGAUGAUGAUGAUGUGAUCUAAAUGACGGUUGUACUGGAAAUGCUUUUGCAACUUGUACAAUAUUGAUGUUUCUGAUCAUACUGUCAUGAUAAACAGGAGGGACUGUUAGGUUGAAGAAACUGUUAUUAAUCAUUUUGUUAUCACUCCUGUAUGAUCAGCAAUGAAUGUAAAUAUGUAUAUACAUUAUUUUGUUUUCCCCUAGCCUCAUACUUUAGAUUAUAUUAAUAAUAGCAUUCCCACCUUAGCAAAACCAGAACUUUCUCUCACCUCCCUAUUCUGCAUGACUCUUGCGCCUCCCACUGACUAUAAAUAAAGGAGUCAAGGGGAACCACCCUUUGUAACACAUUCUGCUGUAGUUUGCAUUGCAGAGAGUGUGGGUACCCUUGCAAGUAAAAACUAUAAAGUGUGUGUCUCGUAAAUGUGGAGUUGGGGUGGAAACGCCGGGCGCUUUCCCCAACAUAGAAUUUGGUCCUUCGAGCCGGAUCCGAGGAACCCCGAAGACGUCUCCAGUACGCCGAGAGAAGCGACACCGAAGUCUGUCGACAGCCACUCGAAGUCGGGUGCAAGAAAGACCUGUGAUGUGAAUUCGUCAUCAGGCCGGUGGUUAGAACUGCGCUCGACGUCUGGUGAUGUCUGAAGGACCUCGGUGAUGGAACAGAGAGCACACUACAUAGGUGAGAAACACGGCACCUAAGUGAAUAGGUGGCCAAGUGAGACAUACGGCACCUAAAUAAGUAGGUGGCCAAGACAUGCAUGUGGUUGAGGUUAGCCGAAAUUAACCGGGAGAGAAAGUAGGCGUUGUUGGAAAUAUAUACAGUGUUCUAUGUGGAUGUGUUUUUAUAGGUUUUAGACUAACCUACACGAUCCACCCUAAAAGCAACAACAUACUGGUGACUGAAGGAUAAAGGACGGGUUUCAUCCCUGAAAACUAACACCGCUGCUCUAAUAGGGAGCAGUAGAAGGCCGUGUUGGUGUCCUCCUGAGGUCUCAUGCCAGGGACUUGCUUUUAGGAUUUUUUAUGUUUUGUAGUGUAUUCAAUAAAAGGUAACAAUGGGAAAAAUCAGAGUAAACAAAUCAAACUAGAGGGAGAUGAGAAGUUUAUGGAAGGAUAUAAACCAGGAUCAGGACAAAUAAGUAGUCAGAGAUGGAGGAAAAAACAUGGGUUUGAAGGAAAACUCCAUACUCCAGACAUAUUAAAGUUACAGGGAAACUUAAAACUGGAGAUGUUACAGACUACCAAUAAGAAAAAAGGCCAAGAUAGAAAAAAGGAAUACGUUUUCUCUGAUGCAUGGUUAGAACAGAGUAAACUAAGAGAUAAUAAGAGACAACAGAAAAAGGGAAAUAAGGAGAAAAAACUGCAGGUGGCUUUAAUCACACUAGACGAAGAAACGGCAGCAAGACCUUCUGCCCCUCCAGCUCCUCCACCGCCCCCACAAAUUCCGGUGCCUGCACCGGCGCUGGUUCCAGCCACAGAUAGACAAGAAGCAAGGGGGGGGGUGGAACCAUCUCGCAUGUUAACUCGAGGGUCUGAUCCCUCUCUAUAUCCUGUAAAAGAUUUGGCCACAGCUAAAGUACAACGGCAUCCAAAAAAUAACACGGAACAAGAGGAGGUAGAAUGGCAGUGUCCCCUCGUAGAAGUGGCAAACCCAAAUCGAGGGCCAAAUAAUGCAGGACCCGAAACUAUGUUAGUAUAUAGACCCUGGACCGCUGAGGAUAGAACAGCGGCUUUAAAAGGAAUACCCCCGGUUGAAGAAGGGGUACCCGAGUUUUGGACUGCCAUCCUAGAAUUACAAAGUAGUUUUCAUUUGAACGGCAGGGAAAUGUACCGAUGCCUAAGACAGUUGUUUACCCAUAAAUGGGGACGUGUGGCAGGCGACUUCACUGGACAUGGUGCCAAUAAUCAGCCCUUAGCACAUAACUCGCAGGAACUCAUACAAGCAUUACAACACCUGCGAGAGAGGAUAGACACAGUCUUCGUGAGACGUGCAGAUUAUGGGCGAAUAGCGCAGUGCAAACAAAAAGAUGGAGAGGAACCUGAGGAUUUUAUGGAUAGGAUGCGAGUGGUGUUCAGGGGAAAUUCAGGAAUUCCUCACGACGAGGAAGACGGAGGAGUGUAUCAGCAACAAUUAAAACGAGCUUUUUUUUUCGCAGGCCUAAAGUCUGAAUUGCGAAAAUAUCUCGACAAACAUUGGGUACAUCAGAAUACUGGCUCAGUCCAACAAGCCUUAGAAUAUGCCCAACACGCACAGAAAGCGCAGAAACAGCAAAAGACAGAUACAAUAUUCAGCGCCUCUGACGUGGUAGCGCUAGUGCAAACGAACCCUCGGGGACGCGGGGGAUUCAGAGGUAGAGGAAGAGGAAGAUUUAGAGGCCGAGGAAGAUUUAGAAAUAAACAAACAGGAGGGUUUUCUCAGGAAACAGAGUGUUGGACAUGCGGGAAACCUGGACACUUAAGCAGGGACUGCAGGUCAGGGAAGCGACCAUUUAAUCCAAACUCCACCGAAAAUGACCAAUGACCCUCCUCGGAGACCCCUGUUGCCGACACUAUCCGAGGUGAAACAGAGGUCAUUUUAAGGGAAGAAACGGAGGUUACCUUACAAGACCUCCUCAAUGAGGAAAUAGAUUUGCAAGCAGUAUGUCAGCUAUUAGCAGAAAGGCAGUGGGGAACUUUGCCAAGUCGGAAAUUAAUCAUAAAUGGCAAAGUAUACGAAUGCCUGUGUGAUACUGGAGCCUGUAGGACUGUCCUAACCUCCAGUCCUCCUGAAGUCACAUACUCCUCAUCUGUCAUAAAUAUAAAAACAGCAGGAGGCCAAACAGACAGUCAUCAGCUAACAAACCCAGUUGCAGUAAAAGAUAAGGAAACUGGGAUUGAAUGUCAAGCACAAGUGUUAAUAAGCCCUUCUUGCCCUGUCAAUCUGUUAGGCCAUGACCUUAUGGUACAGAUGGGCAUUAGUGUAGUUGCCACAAACUCUGGCAUGAAAGCAAUCAUAAAUGAGGAAGCCUAUGUUGUGCAAGGAACCGGAGCACCAGACGUGCCCAACCCACACUUAUUGCUCAACUCAUUAACCCCUGAUAAAAGUUACUUCUCAGUAGUUGAUCUCAGUAAUGCAUUUUUCUCAGUACCAUUGCACCCUGAUUCUCAACAUUUAUUUGGUUUCACCUAUAAGGGAAAAAAAUACACAUAUACUAGACUCCCUCAAGGGUUUUCAGAAAGUCCACAUGUAUAUACCAUGGCCCUUAGAUACUCUAUGAGUACCUGUAAAAUACCAUCCCAUAGUCAAGUGCUACUGUAUGUAGAUGAUAUAUUAAUUGCUUCAGAUACAAAACAGCAUUGUAAGGAAGCCACACUGUUGGUGUUACAGCAUUUAUAUGAUACAGGACAUAAAGCAUCAAAACAAAAAUUACAAUAUUGCAGGGAGGAAGUUAUAUAUCUUGGACAUAAACUCUCCCAACAAGGUCGAUCGUUGUUAGAAACUAGAAAACAGGCAAUACAAGAGGCACCAAAGCCAAAGACUAAACAGCAAAUGAUGUCCUUCUUAGGACUUUGUAAUUAUUGCAGAGAAUGGCUACCUGAUUAUGCCGCACUCGUUCAACCUCUGCAAACCUUAAUUUAUGGGAAAGACAUGGCCUUAAAAGAUAAAAUUCAGUGGACAAAAGAAGGAGAAUUGGCAUUCACAAACUUAAAAAUGAUGCUACAAACAAAUGUGAUACUUGCCUUACCAGAUUAUCAACAACCAUUUACCUUAUGUGUUGAUGCUAAUCAAGGUUAUAUGAAAGCGGUAUUAACACAGCCGUUCGGGACAAAGGAAAGACCACUAGCAUUCUAUUCUAAACGAUUAGAUGCAGUAGCAGCUGGUUUUCCACAAUGUUUGCAAGCAUGUGCAGCUGCUGCAGAAGCAGUAAAAUUAUCAGCAGAAUUAGUGUUGUGUCACCCACUCACCUUGAAGGUGCCACAUUCAGUUUCAUUAGUUUUACUGCAGACACCGCUUCCGUUCCUCACACAUGCUAGACAUCUGACCUUAGUCUCACUCCUGCUUUCACAGUCAAACAUUACUAUACAGCGAUGUGGUCCUCUUAACCCUAGCACCCUUCUUCCGACAACGGAAGAUGGAGAACCACAUUCGUGCAAAGCAGUUGUGGAAGAGCAAACAAAACCCAGAGCAGAUAUUUUACAGACCCCAAUAUCAGAUUCAAUGGUUGUUUAUGUAGAUGGAUCAGCAUCAAAAAAUGAUAUGGAAAAAAAUAAGGUCGGGUAUGCUGUAGUACAUCUACUGAAGUCUUAGAGGCCAAUGCACUCCCACCUGCUUGUUCAGCACAAGCGGCUGAACUCUAUGCUGUAAUUAGGGCAUGCGAGCUAUUCAAAAAUAAGUCACUUACUAUAUACACUGAUAGUCAAUAUGUGUUUGGAGCUGUUCAUCACCAUGCAAGAGUGUGGAAAAAUAGAGGUUUUAAAACAUCGCAGGGAACGUCUCUAACUCACACAAACUUACUACUUAGAUUAUUAGAUGUUGUACUAUUACCGACUCGCCUUGCACUGUGCAAAUGUAAAGCACACCAAACCGAUGCUUCCACAAUAGCUAAAGGAAACAACUUUGCAGAUAAAACUGCCAAAGAAGCGGCACUGAAACAGCCCACCUUAUCAGUGGCAGACAUUCUUUUCAUAGAUAGUGAUGUGCUGUGUGAUGCACAGAUUCAUGCUCCUAAAACAGAAAUACAGAGUUGGAUCAAGAGAGGAGCAAUACAGCAAGGGAAAGUUUACUAUAUGAAUGACAAGCCUAUCCUACCAAAAAACUUAUACAAAACAGCUGCCUUAGUGAGCCAUGGAAAUACUCAUGUCUCAACAGGAGGGAUGGUACAUAUUAUCCAGCAAUACUUUUACGCUAUAAAUUUUUCUGAUUAUGCAAAGCAAUUUUGUAGAACAUGCUUAAUUUGCUGUAAACAUAAUGCACAGGGUAACAUGAGACCAAAACGUGGCCAGUUCCCUGUAGCUGAGUACCCGUUUCAAGUUGUACAUAUGGAUUUUAUUGAAUUAUCUUGGUCACAAGGGAAGAAGUACUGUCUAGUCAUUAUAGACACCUUUUCUAAGUGGGUAGAAAUAUACCCUGUAAAGCACUGUGAUGCAAUGACUGUUGCAAAAUGUUUGGUAGGCCAUUAUUUCCCUACUUAUGGCAUACCUCAUAUUAUAAGAUCAGACAAUGGGACUCAUUUUGUAAAUCAGACCAUGUCCCUUUGUUCACAAGCAUUAGGUUUUACGCUUAAGAAUCAUUGUGCUUAUCACCCUCAGAGUGCAGGCUUAGUGGAGAGAACUAACGGCACUAUUAAAACAAGGCUCAGAAAAACAAUGGAAGAGACAAAAAGGCCGUGGCCAGAAUGUUUGUCUCUAGUAAAAUUGUGGAUGAGAAUAACUCCCAUUCCUGCAGGAUUAACACCUUUUGAGAUAGUGUACGGAAGGCCGUUUCCCCUAGCAACCAAAAUGAGUGAUAUAGGGAAAGCGGACAGAGAAAAUACAUUGGCUAAUUGGAUGCGAAAGUUGCUAUCAUCACAACAAAAACAUAGCCCCAGUAGUCUGCCAGUAAAUUCUGUUUCUAACCAACAGGAUAACUUGCAGCCAGGAGAUUGGAUCCUGGUCAAGGUCCUGUUGCGGAAGGAGUGGAGCACACCCCGGUGGGACGGACCUUAUCAAGUCCUCCUCACAACACCAACAGCUGUGAAAAUAGCAGAACGACCUUCCUGGAUACACAAAAGUCACUGUAAACCCAUCAAGCCCUUAUCAGAGGCCUCAGCGACAGAGUAGCAGUGGAAGUCCGCUACAAAGGCACAGUAACCAAUAGGGUGCUGCUGUCUCAACCCGGUGAAGAAAACAACUGAGCUGCACUCUAUUAGGAUGGCUCUGACGGGGUGGGGAUGUGGUAAGGUGACUCUAGGGGUCAUUCUUGUUGUUGGACUUGUAUGGUUGUCCUUGCUCCCACUAGCUCCAUUGCAGCACCUACGGCGAUGGACCCAUGACGACUUCCAUCUGCGCCCGUUGCCUGCUGACCACUCACACCCGUUCAUGAAGAACUACUGGUAUCGAUAUGUACAUGACACUGUAACAGCAAAAAAUGUGACUUACAAAAAGUGAUGACCAUGGACAGUCAACCGCAGUCCUCCUGGCUGGACUGGUUUGUUACAGGAAUUUGGUGGUCCAUACUGAUGAAAAUGUGCCUACCUUUUGUUUUGUUUUUUAUUUUGUUUUUCUGUUGUUUUAUAACUGUUAUACCAUGUUUGAAAAUGUUUAUUAAUCAAGCUCUUAAUGCUGCUUUUCGGACACACAGUACAAUGCUUCUCUCCCUUACUCAGAAUAUGGAGACAGAGCCUGUUUCCAGCGAUAGCGAUGAAGAAGACAUGUAAUUCAUAAUGACGGCUGAGCUGAAAGCACCCGUGCAGGGCUCGGACCUGAAGUAAUGGAAUUAGAUGUUUUUCUAUGAUAAACAGGAGGAACGACUCCUGAUGGUUUUCUGUACUCCACAGUUAGGAUGAUGAUGAUGUGAUCUAAAUGACGGUUGUACUGGAAAUGCUUUUGCAACUUGUACAAUAUUGAUGUUUCUGAUCAUACUGUCAUGAUAAACAGGAGGGACUGUUAGGUUGAAGAAACUGUUAUUAAUCAUUUUGUUAUCACUCCUGUAUGAUCAGCAAUGAAUGUAAAUAUGUAUAUACAUUAUUUUGUUUUCCCCUAGCCUCAUACUUUAGAGUAUAUUAAUAAUAGCAUUCCCACCUUAGCAAAACCAGAACUUUCUCUCACCUCCCUAUUCUGCAUGACUCUUGCGCCUCCCACUGACUAUAAAUAAAGGAGUCAAGGGGAACCACCCUUUGUAACACAUUCUGCUGUAGUUUGCAUUGCAGAGAGUGUGGGUACCCUUGCAAGUAAAAACUAUAAA